AGUGAACGCUGGCGGUAGGCCUAACACAUGCAAGUCGAACGGCAGCACAGUAAGAGCUUGCUCUUACGGGUGGCGAGUGGCGGACGGUUGAGGAAUACAUCGGAAUCUACUUUUUCGUGGGGGAUAACGUAGGGAAACUUACGCUAAUACCGCAUACGACCUACGGGUGAAAGCAGGGGAUCUUCGGACCUUGCGCGAUUGCAUGAGCCGAUGUCGGAUUAGUUAGUUGGCGGGGUAAAGGCCCACCAAUGCGACGCUCCGUAGCUGGUCUGAGAGGAUGAGCAGCCACACGGGAACUGAGACACGGUCCAGACGCCUACGGGAGGCAGCAGUGGGGAAUAUUGGACAAGGGGCGAAAGCCUGAUCCAGCCAUGCAGCGUGUGUGAAGAAGGCCUUCGGGUUGUAAAGCACUUUUGUUGGGAAAGAAAAGCAGGGGGUUAAUACCACGCUGUUAUGACGGUACCAAAAGAAUAAGCACCGGCUAACUUCGUG
rnacentral:rRNA from 1 species